UGGGGAAUAUUGGGCAAUGGGGGAAACCCUGACCCAGCGACGCCGCGUGAGGGAAGAAGGUUUUCGGAUUGUAAACCUCUGUCCUUGGUGACGAUAAUGACGGUAGCCAAGGAGGAAGCCACGGCUAACUACGUGCCAGCAGCCGCGGUAAUACGUAGGUGGCGAGCGUUGUCCGGAAUUACUGGGUGUAAAGGGAGCGUAGGCGGGAGAGCAAGUCGACUGUGAAAGGCUAUGGGCUUAACCCAUAGAUGCGAUCGAAACUGUUCAUCUUGAGUGAAGUAGAGGCAGGCGGAAUUCCUAGUGUAGCGGUGAAAUGCGUAAAUAUUAGGAGGAACACCAGUGGCGAAGGCGGCUUACUGGACGGUAACUGACGUUGAGGCUCGAAAGCGUGGGGAGCAAACAGGAUUAGAUACC
rnacentral:rRNA from 1 species